rnacentral:lncRNA from 1 species
ACGUGACCGAUCCCGGAGAAAGAGGGGCCCGUGCCUUGGAAAGCGUCGCGGUUCUGGCGGCAUCCGGUGAGCUCUCGCUGGCCCUUGAAAAUCCGGGGGAGAGGGUGUAAAUCUCAACACAUUCAAAAGCUAGCAGAAGGCAAGAAAUAACUAAAAUCAGAGCAGAACUGAAGGAAAUAGAGACACAAAAAAACCCUUCAAAAAAUCAAUGAAUCCAGGAGCUGGUUUUUUGAAAGGAUCAACAAAAUUGAU